UAGGGAAUUUUCGUUCAAUGGGGGGCGAACCCCUGAACGAGCAAUGCCGCGUGAGCGAAGAAGGUCUUCGGAUUGUAAAGCUCUGUUGCCGGGGAAAAAGGAAGGAAAGAGGAAAUGCUUUUCUUUGGAUGGUACCCGGCCAGAAGUCACGGCUAACUACGUGCCAGCAGCCGC
rnacentral:rRNA from 1 species